AAAUAAAUAGGCGGUGUCUGAGAUAGAAAACAGGGGAUCCUGGGUGUUAAAGGAUAACCCACCUACAUUUGAGCCUUGUCUUAUUAGUGCGUGUGUAUGGUUGUUUACUCUAAUAUGGUGAGUGUCCGGGUAAAAUUUUUGGUUAUUACUGAAGCUAACUCUUAUUUUACUUGCUGAGUUCGGUAAGAUAAGUUACUUUUAGUUAGGUGCAGCUACUAGAAUUGGCUAUAUGCCCAUGUAGCACAACUUCAAAAAUAAUUCAGAUUGACAUGCAGCUUAUGACAAGGUUAAUCUGGGAUACAGAUGUAACUUAAGCAAUAAUUCAAAGAUUGAACUACUAAAAGGUAGCUCAACUAAGUAGACAAAUAAGAUAAGAAAACUUGCCUUUGAAGAAGGACUUGUAAGUAAGGGUUAAAAAUAAAAUUACCCUGAAUACAAUCAGAUGAGUACUAAUCGCCCGUCGCUCGCGGGGAAACCUGUGAAAAGUCGUAACAAGGUAGCAGUAACGGAAGUUGCUGCUAGGCUAUAAUAU
rnacentral:rRNA from 1 species